AAUGCGUUAUGUGACAGAGAGAGGGGAGUAAUUGAUCAGAGAGACCCUGCCGCCGGGGAUCCAAACUAGAACAACGAUGAAAUCUCACGGAAUAUGGAGUGUUUCAAGAAACCCAGUCAAGUUCAGAAUGCAAGUCUCCUUUCUGUCUUCUUACACUAUAUUAUUUCUUUCGAGGAUAAUUUGUGGGUAUUUGAUAUUGCAGCCCAACUGCUGAUAAUUUUGUUCCAGUUCGUCUUGAUAUUGAAAUUGAUGGUCAAAGAUUCAGAGAUGCUUUUACUUGCAACCCUUCUGAUACGGAUUCAGAGGUGGUGGCGUUUGCAAAAAGAACUGUAAAAGACUUAAAGCUUCCACCAGCAUUUGCAACACAGAUUGCUCAAUCUAUUCAAUUAAGCCACCUUUCUUAAAGCUGACGGAAUCAUAUGAAGGGCAAGAUAUGUAUACUGGUGAAAAAAUUGUUCUUGUCAAGGAUUUGAACAACUUCGAGAGUGACCCUGAAGAAUUUGCGAGAAGCUUUUGCAAAGAUGUGGGUAUUGAUGAUCCUGAAGUUGGAAUUUUGAUGUAGAUACUUAAGAUUUGCCAAAUGACACUUGACUAAAGAGUUCUUUUUGGCCGGAAAUAGCCUUUGCAAUUUGGGAACAUAUUUAUAAGAUUGCAGUUCAAAAUGUAUUCUCGGCAAGGGAAAGUAGAAUAAGCACAAAGGGUCGUAGAGGGUUCGAGCAUUCUCUACCCAGUUCUCGCUUUAUCCUUAUCUCAGUAAGGCUGGUGGCACUGCAUUGGAUUUAAUGAAGUUAUUUGGUUUCAGAUCUACUGUUACUCGGAAGAAAAAGGAAUGAGAUGUGUAUGAACCUAUUUAGGAUAUCCUAUCAAAAGAGGAAGUGGCUGCACUUGAAGCAAGAGAAGAGAAGAAUGCUUGAUGGAAUGAUAGUUAUUGUACAAAAAUUCUAAUGUCUGGACAACCAGCUGAGCCCAAGUCUUAGUUAAUUCAGAUUAGUACUCUUUCCAUUUAAGCUGUAGUUGUGUUUGACUGUUUAUAAUAUUUCUCUUGCAUAUAUUUAUGGUCUUAAAUUUUUUGUUAGACUGAUUAAUUAUCUACAUAAGCUUUAGGUCUACUAUCUUUGUUGACCUCUUAAAUCACAUCAACGAAAUAGAUACUUGCUUAAAUCAGCCAAUAAGAAGAAUUAUUGACAGAACUUUAGUCAGUUGUUCUUUGACUGCUUAACUUAAUUGCUAAAUGGUCUUGUCGUUAACCCCUCUGCUCUUGUUCCCAUAUGUGGGAUCCAAUAUUUUCGAGUCAAGAGUCUUACACAUACAUGGCUUCCAAUUUCUUUGAGUCAAGGUCAAGAAUCCGUGUGCUUGUACAGAUAUAGGUAAUAAAGAGAUAGUUCUUGUGAUCUAGUGCUGUGUUUGCUUAAGGAGGGAAAGAUGUGCACAACAAUCUUCAAGCAAAACAGCUAAGAGAAAAUUAUAACAUUGAAUAUAAACAUAUAAAACAAAAAGUAGUUGUCAUGAAAGAGACAAAGCUUAUGAAAACUUUUCAGAAAUCUUAGGCUGGAUUCCAUAGAUUGAGGAUCACCUUAUCCUCGCCUUAGUGUGGGACCUUAUCCAUUGAAACAUAGCCCCUUCCACAUCAGAAAUUGUUAUACAGGGUUCCCUUCAGGACUAGGUAUAUUUAAUUUCACCACCUCUUAAAAUUUCCACCCUAAAAGUUCACACAUUAUUGCCCAACAGUUGCUGCUACUAGAAUCAUCUAACAAAAAGAUUCAAGUGAAGAUAUAUGCAUCAAUUUUUUCUGUUUGAAAAAAACUUUUGUUUUUCUUGUAACAUGAUUCUUACUUGUUUACGUUUGAACAGCGCUACUGCUUUAACUUUCUAGCCAUUGAUACUCUUGAUCUCCUUCUGUCAGCUUAUGAAGUUUUAGUAUGAAGAAAAUCCUUGUGGUAACAUAUAAAAUUGCCCAGUUGGUAUGGUAGAAUGUAUAGAAAAUCUUACGAGAUCAUAAAUCUCCCUAUAUGUGUACGUGGAAUCUAGUUUCAUGAUCUCUUAUGAUAAAUUUAAAAUUACUGAUCAGCACACCACAUCAAUGAAAUAAACUGAUUUUUCGGGUCAAGAAUGGUGUGCUGAGAAAAUAAAGCAAGAAAUCCAUUAAUAAAGUGAAAAAUCUCACCAUGAUUCUUGUAUUCAUCAUGGGGAUUCCUAUAGGUAGGAGGAUGACAAUUAUCAGAAUAUAGAAAAAUUUACAAAGCACUGGGGAUGAAGAUGAUCAUUCAGCUUUGAUAAUUAUACACCCUCUGUAUCAUUCCCUUGGCCUUUUCUUGUUUUUGAGGGUCUUCAUAGUGAAUUCCGGUCAUCAUUAGUCACCUGACCGUUUAGCUCUGUCACUACAUGCCUGAGAAUUUCGACAGCAGAAGAAACGUAGUCCAGCCAAGUAUGAUAUGUAAUAUAAAAUCUAAACUAAACUACUUUUUUUUUGUUAUAUGAUAUGGUGAUAUCAAGAACGAGGUAGGAGAUUAUUCUUGAGUCGAUGUUUCUGGUGGUAGAUGGGUCAAGAAUUGACAUUGCAGAGUGAUGAUCUUGGCUUAUUGUUGGAUUUAUCUAAAAUGGACCACAUGACUUGAACAUCCUCAUAAGUGCAUGCCAUCACUUCUCCUUCAAGUUGAAGGGUGGCGGGAUUUGCUGCGUCGAUGAGCUCUGGUGGUGGCAGCAGCUACGGAGCCCUGGUGGCUGUGACUGUUAUUGAAAAAGGUACGAGCUUUUCGAAAUGGAGAUUUGAUUGUUCUUACCCAAGAAGUAUUGGAAGGAGAAGAAGUCAUUCUUCUGGCAAUAGAUAUAGAAAGUACAGAGUUUUAAAAUAAGACUGGUUGUGCUUCCUUCUUGGUUCCUCAAAGUACAGCUUAGGUAUAUAUACACAGCCUCACUUGUGAAAUUUGAUAGUAGAAUAAUAUUAAAGUGGAGGGGUAGACAGAAAAUGUUGUGGCAUGUGUUUGGGUCAGAAAAAAGGCAAGAUCCGUGAGAUGAGCUUUCAUGGGUUAUGGUUCUUUUUGUUAUCUACAUGACUCUAAUAAUAUAAAGGUUACCACCGUAAAAAAAAUAUUACCACCCCCAAGGCCCCAACAUUGUAUUCCACUAUUUUCCCACUGUCCCUCUGGUUUGGAUUAGAGUUUCGACUUGGCUCGGCAAUCUCAUACAUGACCCGAACCCGACCUAACUCGAAAUCCGAUUUACUAAGACAGAAACCCGAAAGUGACUCGAAAAUCACCCGAUUGACCCGAAAUUAGAAUUUCAUUUCUAAUAACUUCAAUUUUCAGUUUUAUUCAAUUUUAAGUGAUUUUAGUUUGACCCGAAAUCGACCCAAUUGCUGACACGAACACGAUC